rnacentral:rRNA from 1 species
UACAGAGGGGGCAAGCGUUGUUCGGAAUUACUGGGCGUAAAGGGCGCGUAGGCGGCCUGUUAAGUCGAACGUGAAAUCCCCGGGCUCAACCUGGGAACUGCAUCCAAAACUGGCAAGCUAGAGUAUGGUAGAGGGUGGUGGAAUUUCCUGUGUAGCGGUGAAAUGCGUAGAUAUAGGAAGGAACACCAGUGGCGAAGGCGACCACCUGGACUGAUACUGACACUGAGGUGCGAAAGCGUGGGGAGCAAACAGG